CUAGCCUUGACAUGCAUUAGACCGGACCUGAAAGGGUCCUUUCCUUCGGGACUGGUGCACAGGUGCUGCAUGGCUGUCGUCAGCUUGUGUCGUGAGAUGUUGCGUUAAGUCGCGCAACGAGCGCAACCCCUGUCCUUAGUUGCCAUCAUUAAGUUGGGCACUCUAGGGAGACAAACCCUCUUUGAGGGUGGGAAGGUGGGGAUGACGUCAAGUCAGGAUGGCCCUUACGGCUAGGGCUGCACACGUACUACAAUGCCCGGUACAGAGGGACGCAAUACCGCGAGGUGGAGCAAAUCCUCAAAACCGGGCCCAGUUCAGAUUGUAGUCUGCAACUCGACUACAUGAAGUUGGAAUCGCUAGUAAUGGCGCAUCAGCUACGGCGCCGUGAAUACGUUCCC
rnacentral:rRNA from 1 species